UACGUAGGAGGCGAGCGUUGUCCGGAGUUACUGGGCGUAAAGGGUGCGCAGGCGGCCCGACAGGUGUGUGGUGAAAUCUCCCGGCUUACCUGGGAGGGGGCCACGCAAACCGUUGGGCUUGAGGCUCGGGGAGGGGCGUGGAAUUCCGGGUGGAGCGGUGAAAUGCGUAGAUAUCAUUUGGAACGCCAACGGCGAAAGCAGGCAGCUGGGGAUGCACCGACGCUGAGACACGAAAGCCAGGGGAGCGAACGGG
rnacentral:rRNA from 1 species